CGUUGAAAUAAACCAUGAACUCUUAUCAUUUAUGUUUUGAGACAAGAGAAGAAGACACCACAUUGUGGUGGGUUUAGGUGCUGCAGUAGAUUACACUCAUUCUGCAUGGGACUCCACUCUGAGGUUUCUCGUGGUAACUACAUUAAGGAAAUGCUUUCCUACAUUCAUUUUCCUCGUGUGUGGAACUCCCUACUGUUUGCCCUUAAUUGCAUUUAUGUUAUUUCUUUUAAAUAAAAAAGCUUUAAGAAUCUUUCUUCACUCCGGACGGAACGCAGUGGAACUACAAUUCCCAUCUACCCAUGGUCGAUUUAAGAUCUCACACGACUGACAAUCAUUGGGUCUGAAUUAUUUCAUCCAACGAAUGAGCAGUGAGGAUACUGCAGCGCCAGAAUGACCUUUAUUGAAGUGUUUUAAGCUCCAGUUGCUCUGGCGGCGCCUUCAGCCGCCUGUACAUCUGCAUGUCUCCCUGUCCCAGCUGCAGACAGGGUGGUUAUUAUUGAUUUUCACAAGGUGGGAACCGACGGCUGCUCACUAUGGGAGGCAAUGGCAGCACCACCAGGAAAGUGUCAUUCGGACUGGACGAAGACGAGAAGGUCACAGUUAUUGAAGGAGUAAAGCUCUCAGAUGAUGUGCUCCGGCGGAUGAGGGAUUCCCCGGGGUUUGACAGCGCCAAGCCCCCGCCAUCCCCACAAGAUAGUCAGAAACCACCACCAAGUGCAAAACCAUCAGGGCCCUCCAGUUCAGACAUCCAGGAAGAAAUCCGCAAAAAUUUUGAGCGUCAGCAGGCCCUGGUGGAGGAGCAGCUGGCUCAACUGGCCCAGAGAGAGAGACAGACAGUAACAACCACAGGCCUGGAUGAGCUGACCCCUGCCCUCAUCUUGGAGAAAGGAAGAGUGCAUGAAGAGCAAGGAAAGGCCAAGUUACUGCCAGCAGAUUUGGAUGCCUGGUGUAUAUUUUUGACGGCUGCCUCCUAUCUUCCUCUGCUUGCAUGCUGCUAUGGCCAUGGCCCAAACUAUGCCUCUUCCUUCAGCCAAUCUGCCAUCUAUCUGCCUGUUAAAGCUUGGCUCAGCGGGCAUUUAAAAGCGAUUCACCUCAUCCUAACGCCAGCAUCUCGAUAUCAGCCCCUGCAGCUGCUGUUCCAGUCACAUUCCUGCCUGUGAUUAGUGUUGCUAAACAGCUGGAGGUGAAGGAGAAGGAACUGGCCAGCAUUUCAAGCUUUUAUAAAGAACAACUGACAGUACUGGAGAAAAAGAACCUUGACAACUACGAGCAGACGGCUGAAG